GGUCUUGUGACCAGCACUUUCUUCCUGCCAGGGGGGAGGUCUUGCGUCCUGGGGUUGGAGGAGAGAGGAGCUUGUUCAGCCCAGUCUGGAGUGGCAUGCUCUUCUUGGUUCAGCCCGAAGACACAGGCUUCUAAAGUGGAUCAUGGCCAUGGUAUGAAGAGGAAAUGGAUAUCAUUUUGGAAGAUCACAUUAUUGGUAUUUAAUUGGCAGUAACACCUCCCACACUCUCUUCAUUUGCAAUGAUACAGCAAAUAUAGUGGCAAGACCAUCCUCGAGGAUAUGGCCUAUACUACACUGCUUUCUAGGCCUGAUCACCAGCCCUGGACUAAGCAGAACUACUCUCAGUUUUCUACCUGCCAGGUCUCCAGCAAGAUUUGAAAAUAGCUAACAUCAAACUUUCCAAGACUUCUUUCCUCCAGACUAAAAAUGUCUAGUUCUUUCAAUCAAUCCUUAUGUAUUUUGCUUUCUCCUAGUGGUCUUCCUCGAGAUAAUUUCUAGUUUGCCAAUGUCCUUCCUAAAAUGUAUCUCUAAGACUAAAUACAAUAUUCUGUCUUAGGGGGAAAGAAAUGCUAUGUUGACUGAAAAGUCUAUAUCAUCACUUUAUUUGUAGUAGCAAAGAACUAGAAAUAAAUCCAAUGUCCAUCAAUUGGGAAAUGGCUAA
rnacentral:lncRNA from 1 species